UGGUGGAGUGAUUUGUCUGGUUAAUUCCGAUAACGAACGAGACCUUAACCUGCUAAAUAGUCACACUCAGUUUUACUGGGUGCCUGACUUCUUAGAGGGACUAUAGACGUUUAGUCUAUGGAAGUUUGAGGCAAUAACA
rnacentral:rRNA from 1 species